rnacentral:snoRNA from 1 species
AUGGCAGUGAUGAUUGGCGCAGGGGUACGGACCUCAGCUAGAUCAUGGGAGCUGAGUGCAGACUUCGUUUCAGUGCAGCUGGCGUGUGGCUGGCUCGCUGGAAACAGGUUUGCACGAGACUUCGCCACAAACUGAGCCAU